rnacentral:rRNA from 1 species
UACGUAGGCAGCAAGCGUUGUUCGGAGUUACUGGGCGUAAAGGGUGCGUAGGCGGUUGUUUAAGUUUGGUGUGAAAUCUCCCGGCUCAACUGGGAGGGUGCGCCGAAUACUGAAUGACUUGGAGUGCGGGAGAGGAAAGUGGAAUUCCUGGUGUAGCGGUGAAAUGCGCAGAUAUCAGGAAGAACACCAAUGGCGAAAGCAGCUCUCUGGGACGGUACUGACGCUGAGACGCGAAAGCGUGGGGAGCGAACAGG